CUCUACAACUUGAGAGUUUGAUCCUGGCUCAGAGCGAACGCUGGCGGCAGGCUUAACACAUGCAAGUCGAACGCCCCGCAAGGGGAGUGGCAGACGGGUGAGGAACACGUGGGAACGUACCCUUCGGUUCGGAAUAACUCAGGGAAACUUGUGCUAAUACCGGAUACGUCCGAAAGGAGAAAGAUUUAUCGCCGAAGGAUCGGCCCGCGUCUGAUUAGCUUGUUGGUGAGGUAACGGCUCACCAAGGCGACGAUCAGUAGCUGGUCUGAGAGGAUGAUCAGCCACACUGGGA
rnacentral:rRNA from 1 species